GCUGGGUGUGGUGGCACAUGCCUGUAAUCCUAGCUACUUGGGAGGCUGAGGCACGAGAAUCACUUGAACCUGGGAGGUGGAGGUUGCAGGGAGCCGAGAUCACGCCACUGCACUCCAGCCCAGGUGACAGAGUGAGACUGUGCCUCAA
rnacentral:SRP_RNA from 2 species